CACGUAGGGCGCAAGCGUUAAUCGGAAUUACUGGGCGUAAAGCGUGCGCAGGCGGUUGUGCAAGACAGAUGUGAAAUCCCCGGGCUUAACCUGGGAAUUGCAUUUGUGACUGCACGGCUAGAGUGUGUCAGAGGGGGGUAGAAUUCCACGUGUAGCAGUGAAAUGCGUAGAUAUGUGGAGGAAUACCGAUGGCGAAGGCAGCCCCCUGGGAUAACACUGACGCUCAUGCACGAAAGCGUGGGGAGCAAACAGG
rnacentral:rRNA from 1 species